CCUACGGGUGGCAGCAGUGGGGAAUAUUGGGCAAUGGGCGCAAGCCUGACGCAGCAACGCCGCGUGAAGGAAGAAGGCUUUCGGGUUGUAAACUUCUUUUCGCAGGGAAGAAGAAAGUGACGGUAGCUGAGGAAUAAGCCACGGCCAACUACGUACCAGCAGCCGCGGUACGACGAGGGUGGCAAUCGUUAUACGGAUUUAGUGGGUGUAAAGGGGGCGUAGGCGGUAAAUCAAGUCAGAUGUGAAAACGAGGGGCUCAACCUGUGGACUGCUUUUGAAACUGUGUUUCUUGAGUGCUGGAGAGGCAGACGGAAUUCCUCGUGUAGCGGUGAAAUGCGUAGAUAUGAGGAGGAACACCAGUGGCGAAGGCGGUCUGCUGGACAGCAACUGACGUUGAGGCGCGAAAGCGUGGGGAGCAAACAGGAUUAGAUACCCCAGUAGUC
rnacentral:rRNA from 1 species